UUACAAUCUAAUGGUUGAGUUCCUUGUAAAAAGAAUACCUGAGGUAAGUCUUCAGUCAAUGCUUGCAGAUUGCUUGCGAGAGUGAGAACUUUUACGCUGAAACGCCGGGUUACUCUUUCAAGGGAACAUUCCGGAUGAUUACCCAGUAACUGAAAGAUGCUACAGACAUUAUUGUACUGAGCACGUAACCUACGGGUUUCUGACCUAUCAACCUAUGGCGGUAGUGUAACGGACUACCGCGGUUGUGACGGGUGACGGGGAAUCAGGGUUCGAUUCCGGAGAGGGAGCACGAGAAACGGCUACCAUAUCCAAGGAAAGCAGCAGGCACGCAAAUUACCCAAUCCCGGUACGGGGAGGUAGUGACGAGAAAUACUGAUUUAAUCCUUAAAGGUUUAUAAUCAGAAUGGAAAGGAUGCAAAAGCUCCUUGAUGAACGAGUAGAGGGCAAGUCUGGUGCCAGCAGCCGCGGUAAUACCAGCCUCUACAAGCGUAUGCAAAUGUUGCUGCGUUUAAAAAGCUCAUAGUUGGAUCUGUUUGGGUAUCGGGAUAACAUGUAGAUUUGAUUUGCGUAACCACUUCUACCCCGACGCCCAUAACCUUCGCAUCGGUGAUUAGAUUGCACUUUAGUGUGACGAUCUAUGAUCUUCGGUGUUUUCACUUUGAAUAAAUUAGAGUGUUCAAAGCAUCCUUUGGGAUUGAAUAAUAAAGCAUGGAAUAAUGGAGAAUGACCCGUGAGGCGAUUAUGCCGGUUGGCUGCUCAUGGUAAUGGUUAAAAGGAACGGACGGGGGCAUUAGUAUUGCUUGGGGAGAGGUGAAAUUCUUGGAUCCUAGCAAGACUAACUACUGCGAAAGCAUUUGCCCAGUACGUUUUCAUUAAUCAAGAACGAAAGUUAGAGUAUUGAAGAGGAUUAGAUACCCUCGUAAUUCUAACCAUAAACUAUACCAACUUACGAUUCGCUGAAGUCGCUUGAGACUUGGCGAGAAAUUAACCGGGAAACCAAAGUUUAUUGGUUCCGGGGGAAGUAUGGUUGCAAAAUUGAAACUUAAAGGAAUUGACGGAAGGGCACCACCAGGAGUGGAGCCUGCGGCUUAAUUUGACUCAACACGGGAAAACUUACCAGGUCCAGACAUCUUAAGGAUUGACAGAUUAAAUAUCUUUCAUGAUUAUAUGGGCGGUGGUGCAUGGCCGUUCUUAGUUAGUGGAGUGAUCUGUCUGCUUAAUUGCGAUAACGAACGAGAUCUCAUUCAUUUAACUAGAAAGAUUCACUUUAUGUGUUUCUAAUGUCACUUCUUAGAGGGACAAUGCGGGAUAUAAUACCCGCAAGUGAAGUGAGGCUAUAACAGGUCUGUGAUGCCCUUAGAUGUUCUGGACUGCACGCGCGUUACAUUGAGCGUUUAUGAGAGUGAAUAUCCUGGGCCGAAAUGGUCUGGGUAAUCACCAAAAAAGGCUGUAAUGGUGGGAAUCGUAUAUUGUAAUAAUAUACGUGAACUUGGAAUUCCUCGUAAACAGGACUCAACAAGUCCUGCUGAUUACGUCCCUGCCCUUUGUACACACCGCCCGUCGCUACUACUGAUUGGACGGAUAAGAGAGAUAUGCUGAGGAACUUUGCUCUUGAAUUCGUUCUUGUUGCUUUAGUUAAACCAACGCACUCCAAUCCUGUCGAUCUAGA
rnacentral:rRNA from 1 species